rnacentral:lncRNA from 1 species
AUGAAGCACUUGCUCAACUUUGAACCAAAUUCUAGAGAGUGUCCCAGAAUGAAAACCCAAGAUGAUGGAGGAGUGUCCGCUCGUGAUGUGAAGCACCUGCUCAGCUGGGAACUGAAUUUGAGAAUGAAAUCCCAGGAUGAUGGUGGAGUGUCCCCUCAUGAUGUGAAUAACUGCUUGACUGGGAACCAAAUUUAA